UUUUGCUAUUUUGUAAUCUCUGGUUUUGAACCCAGUAGUUUAGGUCUCUCUUGUUGGGGUUAAGGCCGCUCGCCUUCACCCGUUUUCGUCGUCGGGUUUGUACCUCUUUUGCUUUUCUCUUAAUGAAAAACGGGUCUGCCCCAAUCGCGAAAAAAAAGUAGAAAAAAACCAAAAUCCCUCCGUCCAACAGAUCCAUUUCUUCCUAAAUUGACCGGAGGUUGCUAGGCCACCGGCGGCGGCUCACUUUCCAGUCUACCUCGUCCUGGCUGCAGCAUUAUCCGCCGAGCUUGGUGCUUCGCCAUCGGAGGGGAGGCCGAGCAGCAACGGUGGCGGCAUCUGCAGCCUCGUCUCAGCCACCAUCAUCGCCAGCCUUGAAGCCAAGUUGCAGGUACAUCAACUCAAGACCAAAUACUACUCGUAGAUUCCAAUCACUUUAACGCAACACAGAGGAGCUCAAGGAGCCGCCCAGACAUCAUCAUUAUCAGAAAAUGCAGCCUUCAAAAUUGGUGAGAUUGGCUUACGACCUGAUACACAACCACUAUCAUGUGUAGAGGAGAAUAUGAUUUUCCAAUCAUGCUACAAAGAAGUCACAGAAGUCAAAUCAUCCAAAUUAUAUGGGCAUGGAUAUUUGUCUAAGUAUCGAACUCGUAAAGAACUUAUGAAAGAGAACCUUGAAGUUCAUGCACGUGUUGAAGCUGCAGCUAGAGAGAAGAAUAUUGCUUUUGAAGCACAGGUUGAGCAACUCAAAGAAUAGAUUGCGCAAGACGCUCUAGAGAGGGAGAGGGAGAGAGAAGAAAUAAGGAGGAAGAUGCAAGAGGAGCUAGAAGAAGCUAAACAAAAACUAAUUAGAAGACAUGAGACAAGACUUUCUUAAAAUCAUGGCACAACACAAAGAAGCAACUCUGAAUGUGAGUACACCACAAAACAAUGAGAAUACACAAGUUGCACCAACCAUACAAGACGGCGAUGAGACUCCUCAACAUGAACAAGAUAAUGUCUUACAGCAGACUCAGCCUGGAAGUGUUGUCACAGUACAAAGAGAUGCAGCUGCUCAUUGUAGUAAUAAUUCUAGUAUUGUUGGCAAAAAGCUUUUCAACGAUAACAAUGAAAAUGUGCCACAAUCGAAGGUGCAUAUCACUCUACAACAGCUGUUGAAUAAAUCAAGAUCAAGCAAAAGGAGGAGUUAGGUAGACAAGAUUUUAGAGGGAGGCUCAUAAUCAAGCAACAACAUUGGUGAGACGAUGACAUCGAUGUUAGAAAGUCUAGUCUACUUGCAUGUUUUUAAUAUUUUUGGAAUAAUAAGAGAAUUUCAUUUAAGAUUUUAGCUACUCUUUGAAUCAUUUGUCAUACUAUUGGAUGAUGACCGAGUAUAAAUUAUUAUA